AAGUCCUCUUUUAGGAUUGGCUACCCUUUCAUAUCCAUAAGAUAAUUAAAACGAAGGAGGAUUUUUUUAAACUUUUUUUUUUAAUCAGCCAAUGGUUAAUGCAAGAGUUUAGCAGAUGCUUUACUAUUUUAAAAAAACACAAAACCAAAACAAAACUUAAAAAUCUUCUUCAAUAACCGGAUCUUCUCAAGCCAGGGGACACCAAGACCCCCAAAUAGGUUUCCUCCAGCUUGCGGAAUGUUAAAAACCCGGCGUCUCGUUCUCCCGGAAUCAGUGGUGUGGACGAUAUCGGUUUUCUGCCAGUUUAACUAGCCUGUUUGUGAAGCAUUACUUCAUAGCAGUUAUUGUCCCAGUAUCCACCUUCUCCCACCAAACCACAGUCACCAGAAAUAUGGAGGAAGACUGCCAUCUUUGAUGCAUCUGAAUCA